GUGCCAGCAGCCGCGGUAAUACGGAGGGUGCAAGCGUUACUCGGAAUCACUGGGCGUAAAGCGCGCGCAGGCGGCCUUUUAAGUUGGAUGUGAAAGCCUAUGGCUCAACCAUAGAACUGCAUCCAAAACUAUUAGGCUAGAGUGUGGGAGAGGAAGAUGGAAUUAGUUGUGUAGGGGUAAAAUCCGUAGAGAUAACUAGGAAUACCAAAAGCGAAGGNAAUCUUCUGGAACAUNACUGACGCUGANGCNCGAAAGCGUGGGGAGCAAACANGANUANAUAC
rnacentral:rRNA from 1 species